GUGCUCACUUUGGCAGCACAUAUACUAAAACUGAAAUAAUAAUACAGAUUAGCAAGGCCCCUGGGCCAAGGAUGACACAAAUUCAUGAAAAAAAAACAAUUUAA
rnacentral:snRNA from 2 species